rnacentral:sRNA from 9 species
UGACCCUUAAAAGCCUAGGGUCACCUAGCCAACCUAUAUUGUUCAUGAGUGUGUUAGCUCAUGGUAGUACAGCCAGAUGCUCGUUGUGUCUGGCUUUUUGUUU